GUCGAGCGAGAAGACGUAGCAAUACGUUUGUAAAGCGGCGAACGGGUGAGGAAUACAUGGGUAACCUACCCUCGAGUGGGGAAUAACUAGCCGAAAGGUUAGCUAAUACCGCGUACGCUCCUUGGACUUCGGUUCAGGGAGGAAAGCGAUGCCGUGGGUAUCGCGCUCUUGGAUGGGCUCAUGUCCUAUCAGCUUGUUGGUGAGGUAACGGCUCACCAAGGCUUCGACGGGUAGCUGGUCUGAGAGGACGAUCAGCCACACUGGCACUGCGACACGGGCCAGACUCCUACGGGAGGCAGCAGUAAGGAAUAUUGCGCAAUGGGCGAAAGCCUGACGCAGCGACGCCGCGUGGGGGAUGAAGGUCUUCGGAUUGUAAACCCCUUUCGGGAGGGAAGAUGGAGCGAGCAAUCGUUCGGACGGUACCUCCAGAAGCAGCCACGGCUAACUUCGUGCCAGCAGCCGCGGUAAUACGAAGGUGGCAAGCGUUGUUCGGAUUUACUGGGCGUACAGGGAGCGUAGGCGGUUCGGUAAGCCCUUUGUGAAAUCUCCAGGCUUAACCUGGAACAGUCGGAGGGGACUGCCGGGCUAGAGGGCGGGAGAGGAGCGCGGAAUUCCCGGUGUAGCGGUGAA
rnacentral:rRNA from 1 species